AUUCAGUGUUGAUUUCAGUUAAGGGAACCCUCUCUCUACUAGUAAUUAAACUUUGAGACAUUGAAAUUGGCUGAGGGAAAUGACUGAAUAGAGUGUAUUAGAAUACUCAUAUAUUUCUCACAUAGAUAG